rnacentral:rRNA from 1 species
UAGGGUGGUUUUAGCAGAGGGGCUCACCUGUUCCCAUUCCGAACACAGAAGUUAAGCCCUCUAGCGCCGAUGGUACUGCGAAAGCGGGAGAGUAGGUCGCCGCCAGUUUUUUUAAACGCUCAUCAUUCACUUGAUGAGCGUUUUUUUU